rnacentral:lncRNA from 1 species
CAAAGUCACAGGGAGUGAAGACUCCACAGGAGACUGGAGGAGGGGAGCCACAGCUCUUGCCACCCAGCGAGUCUAAUGAACAUGCACUUCAUAAAUCGAACCUCUCCCCAGGUUUCUUCUUCUGGGCCCUCUGGCUCAUCCUCCUCUCCGCCCACACCCCCUCAGCUUCCCCUUUCGGCUGCCCAGCAGGCCAGCUGCCAUGCCAUGCUCUGCAGAACCCAGAUUAGCCGCAUGAGCAGCCCUGCUUUUCUCCAGCGAGCCCGCGGUUUGGAUGCCAUCCUGGUGCAGAUGUGCAUUGAGCACCUACAGAGAACCAGGCUCACUUCUGUGCUGGAAGAAAGAAGUCAUCCCCCCACUCAGGGAGCUCUCGCGAAAUAACACUGCUCCUCCACAGGACAGCACCUUCUUAAAUAUGCGGUUCCGAGAGUGCAAAAUCAGCACUCACAGGAGGACGCUAAGGCUCAGAAGAUGCAGGGCACUUGCCCGAGUAUAACAGUGAAGUUCCUGAAAGUCUACAUCAGACGCCCGGUCUGGAUGCUGGAUAUUGUGAGUGUGUUACAUGCUGCCUUUCUAUGUGGCAAAUAAAUUUUGUUUAGAUUAUCAUAUCAUACAAUUAUAAGCCCUACCUUGUCUCUGCAAUUAUAUUGCUCACAUAGUCCUGGAGAUCAGACACCAAACUGCCUCAGACAAUCUGACAUGCCUCCAUAUUCUCCUUUUUUCCUGUCCCUUUUUCCAAUGCCAUUCCAAAAGACUGACAAAAUCUUGUCGGCAAGGGUGUUUUUUCUCUUUGAUAAUGAUUUUUUAAGUCACAUUAUCUUUUUCUUUUGUGGGGGUGGUGGGAGGAGGAAUGGGGAAAGCCCCAAUCUUUCCUUUGGGGAAAGGAUGACUAACAUUUAAUGGAAAAUCGUG